rnacentral:rRNA from 1 species
GACGAACGCUGGCGGCGUGCUUAACACAUGCAAGUCGAACGGAAAGGCCCUGCUUUUGUGUGGUGCUCGAGUGGCGAACGGGUGAGUAACACGUGAGUAUCCUGCCCUUGACUUUGGGAUAACUUCAGGAAACUGGGGCUAAUACCGGAUAGGAGCUCCUGCUGCAUGGUGGGGGUUGGAAAGUUUCGGCGGUUGUGGAUGUACGCGCGGCUUAUCAGCUGGUUGGGGGGGUAGUGGCUUACCAAGGCUUUGACGGGUAGCCGGCCUGAGAGGGUGACCGGCCACAUUGGGACUGAGAUACGGACCAGACUCCUACGGGAGGCAGCAGUGGGGAAUAUUGCACAAUGGGCGGAAGCCUGAUGCAGCAACGCCGCGUGCGGGAUGACGGCCUUCGUGUUGUAAACCGCUUUCGCCUGUGACGAAGCGUGAUUGACGGUAAUGGGUAAAGAAGCACCGGCUAACUACGUG